rnacentral:rRNA from 1 species
CCUACGGGUGGCAGCAGUGGGGGAUAUUGCACAAUGGGGGGAACCCUGAUGCAGCGACGCCGCGUGGGUGAAGAAGCGCCUCGGCGCGUAAAGCCCUGUCAGCAGGGAAGAAAAUGACGGUACCUGAAGAAGAAGCCCCGGCUAACUACGUGCCAGCAGCCGCGGUAAUACGUAGGGGGCAAGCGUUAUCCGGAUUUAUUGGGUUUAAAGGGUGCGCAGGCGGCCUGUUAAGUCAGCGGUAAAAGCCCGCGCUCAACGUGGGAACUGCCUUUGAAACUGGCAAACUGGAGUGUGUGAGAGGAUAGUGGAAUUCCAGGUGUAGGAGUGAAAUCCGUAGAUAUCUGGAGGAACAUCAGUGGCGAAGGCGACUAUCUGGCACAUAACUGACGCUGAGGAGCGAAAGCGUGGGUAGCAAACAGGAUUAGAUACCCCUGUAGUC